ensembl:lncRNA
GAGAUACCAAGGCGCUGAUACUUCAAGGAACAUACAACAUUUUCAGCACCAAAAGUUGUCACUGUGAUACCAACGAAUUAACCCCAGCACCAUAACAUACUAUAGAAUUGAUAGAACAGAGUAGCAGUCUCACUGCAGUAAAUAUUUCAUGCCUUGAUCCUACACAGAAAUUCACAGAUGAAAAAUUCAAUGAGAUUCUGACAGGCACAUGCAUCCAUUUGUGCAAGGAUGACGGUACAAUCAGAUCCUUAAAUGUCUAUUUACUACAAAAAAAAACAGCAAAACUCCUGAACUGACUUCAGAGAAAAAAUCACAACAGUGGUAUAUUGAUCCUGAAACGCGAACAAUCCUGAAGACUGUGACCUCUUCAGGACAAGCCAACAGAAUUAUGUGAUUGUUUUUGUAUCCCCUCUCUCUAAAGUAAAUUUCAUCGUUUAAAGCAAUAAUCCUGAGUUUAACCUAGCUGGAAAAAGGACGGUCCACCUAUUGUGAGAC